CCUACGGGAGGCAGCAGUGAGGAAUAUUGGUCAAUGGGCGGGAGCCUGAACCAGCCAAGCCGCGUGAGGGAAGAAGGUACAGCGUAUCGUAAACCUCUUUUGUCAGGGAACAAAGGCGGGGACUAGUCCCCGGAUGAGGGUACCUGAAGAAAAAGCAUCGGCUAACUCCGUGCCAGCAGCCGCGGUAAUACGGAGGAUGCGAGCGUUAUCCGGAUUUAUUGGGUUUAAAGGGAGCGCAGACGGCAGUGGAAGUCUGGAGUGAAAGCCCGGGGCCCAACCCCGGAACUGCUCUGGAAACUGUGCGGCUAGAGUACUGGAGGGGCAGGCGGAAUUCGUGGUGUAGCGGUGAAAUGCGUAGAUAUUAGGAGGAACACCAGUGGCGAAGGCGGCCUGCUGGACUGUAACUGACGUUGAGGCUCGAAAGCGUGGGGAGCAAACAGGAUUAGAUACCCUGGUAGUC
rnacentral:rRNA from 1 species